UUGGGGUUUAUUUUAAUCAAAAUUCCCAAAACCUUUUCUUAUUGUGGAAAUUCUAGCUCUCCGCUGCUCUCGAGAACAAGUGUACGAUCCAGAAACUAUUAGGGUUUAUCUGUAAAUGGAAAUGGCGAAAACCCCAACUAGCGAGUCGAACUUCGAACGCAACGCUUCGAAGAAAGAGCUUCAGGAUUUAUGUAGGGAGCAUGGUCUGUCUCCUUACAAGACUAAAGCUAAUUUGCUCAAAUCUUUGCGCCCUUAUUACAAGGUGAUAGGGAUGGUGAAAAACUCAACUAGUAAAGUGAUUUAUGACACCGACAUUACCAAGAAAGAGCUUCAGAAAUUGUGCAGGAAGUAUGGUCUGUCUCCUUAUGACACUAAAGUCAACUUGCUCUGCUCAUUGCGCACCUAUUUCCAGAAGAUGAACUUGAAUUUAUUUUCGGAAGUGGAAAGUUCGAAUGGCUGUUCUAAAUCUCUGCUAACAGGACUGCUUUCUGGAGCGCAGUUGAGCGAGACAACCAAAGUCAAUAAAGAAGAUCGCAAGGGAAAAUUUACUGCAUCUUUUGUACAUGGUCAUGGGAUUUAUAGUCGUUCGAGAGAGAAGGAUGACCAGGAAAUUCACUCUCAAACUGUUAAAACCAAUGAACUAGGAAAUCUCAAGGAGGCAGGAGUUCAUGAUAAGGUUUCUGAUUUCAAAAACGUUGAAAAAGUCGGGUGCUCAAUGUCCAACAUCCAAAAGCAUUCCAACAGCAAGAAAUGGGACAAUACCUGUGCACAGAACCUUACUCAAUGUGAAGUAUAUAACUUCAGACCUCGGAAGUCCCAUCAAAUCAGUACUGGCACAAACAAUUAUUUUUCUUCAAAAAAAGACUGCGUUGGCAGUAUAGCUGGAUCUCAACAUAUAGAUAGUACGUCUACAAUGGAUGGUACUGUUCCUCUUGAAUCUUCUACUUCAGUUUCCUCCUUGGACUUUUGUGUCAGAUCAGAAGAAGGAAUAAACCUUUUCGUCGAUUUGAGUUCAAGCCUGCCUGAUUGGUCUAAGAGAUUGGAAAAUGAAGUGCGCAUUUUUCAGGAUUUGCAAAUGGAUAAAUUUCAGAGCUUUCAUCAAGAACUGAUGGGUUCAUUUAUGGGUAAUGUGGAUGCAGGGUUUAGAAUUAGUAGUUACUGUGCACAUACUGACCCUUCUCCAGAUUCAUUCGCUAGAAAAAAUAGGGAGUCAAGAAUUGAAUAUCCAAAUGCAGAUGAUGGGCUUUCAAGUAAUAUAAUGAAAAAACCAUGCGUUGUCUCUGUAGAAAUGUCUAUGCACUUGCAAGAUAAAAAUAAAGUUCUACGCCUUCCCAGGCUUAAUGCCUUUAUCCAGAACGCGCCAGUACCUGGUAUAAAAUCUUGUACAGGAAAUGAGGAAACAGAAGCCAAGAAGUUAAAUGUGUUCCACACUUCUCCAAUAGAACUCCAUUGCAAUUCUGUUAGUAUGGUUUCAAAUGGACUGGUAAGUACUCCAGAGAAUCAAAAUACAAAGCUUGGUCGUGUGAAGUGUCAUGAAGAUCUCAAGGAGAGUUACAGACCAGAUAAUUGCACAGUCCCAUGUUCUAUUUCAACAGCAAGUGGUGCUGUUGAGAUGCACUUGUCUGGCAUUGCAAUGCUUAGACAAAACGCGUCAUGUUCUACUGUGGAAAAUGACGAUUCAAUGGGCUUUGUUGUGGUAGAUGUAGCAGAAACAGGAAACAUUGGUUUGGCUAAUGCCACUGAAGUCCAUCACAAUGCUUCUUUCCAUUAUGUACCCACAACUCCUGAUGAAUCGAAAGGGAGCGGCCCUGGUGGGUCAAAAGCUUCUCGGGUAUCAAAGAAAAGAUCGGAAGACUGUGUAUCUGGCAGAGUUCACAAGAGAAAGAGGAAUAAUGGUUUAUACCAGGAAGGCUACCAUCAACAUGAUGGGAGAAUUUUAAGAAGUGCCUACCGACUUGGUCAGAAAGUUUUCCCCAGAAGAUCAAUACGACUGGUUUCUAAGUGAGUUCUUGCAAUGCAUAUAGUCAAUUUCAAAGUUUCAGGCGCUUGUGCCAUGCUACAUUUCUCAUGUUGCAGUCCAGAUUGUCUCAAGUAUAUUUCAAGGCUUUAUAGAGGUUUUACAUUCCUUUUUGGAUAUUUCUGUUGCAUUCUGAGAAUGAAUUUUGACUCAAGGCACACGCCUUGAGGUCUGCCUCCAUGUGAAGCUUUUGUUAGAGGCCAUAAAGCUCAUACUUCAAUUGGCCCUUGUGAAGGCUUGACCUUGAUUUAAAGAGGUUCAAACCUCAUGGCACAAGCCUAGGGUAGCUGAGGAGGGUAGCUGAGGCCUAUCCUCCUCAGUCUUGCCCUCUUGGGGAUCUGUUUCAGUGCAACUUUAUAGAUUGCUCAUUACAUUAUCAGAUUUUAGUUUCAAAAACAUCCCCGUCCUAGAAACUGGGAAGAAACAAUUGGAGCACUUGAUUCAUGCAACUAAAUUGUGACCUCCCAUCUGUCAUAUGGGCAAUGCGUAAUUACAUAUGAGAUCUUCAUACUGCAGAGUUAAACUUUAAACUAAAUUCUUCCUUCAAAAGCAAUGUUAAGAACUGAAUCAAAAAGGUUGCUGAACAUAGGGAUCGGGGAUUUUAUUAAUUCAGAGGAUUAUAACUAAAAGAUGCUGCCUAUUUUGUCUGCUGGUUAAAGUGUUUUGGUACCUUUAUACCGUUCUUGUUUCUUCAAUUUUUGCGAGAUUCUUAUAGAAUUGUGUUAGUUGGGAAAUUGAAAUUGAGAACCAUGCUUGCUAAAAAUUGGUGUAAAGAAUAGUGACCCUUACCCUUCUUCAGAGUUUCGUUCAUAUUGUUGUUAAAACUGAAACUAUUGUGACAGGUUUGAAAGGAAGGACUAAUUAGACCAUAUUUUACAUCCAUAGAUCAAUCCCUUUUA